AUGCCGAUGAUGUGUAUAGGAGACCUGAAUGACAUCCUGUAUGAUAUUGAUGGUUGUAAUGGCAAUGUGAAUUACUAUCGUAUGCAUGCUUUUCGUUCUCUUGAAAAUUGUGGUUUGUUCAAUAUAGGUUAUAGUGGGCCUGCUUAUACUUGGCGUGGUAGACAGAACACUUCCAAACCUAUUUAUAGACGCCUUGACCGUUGUUUGGUCAAUUCCGUGUGGUGCAUGCAUUAUCCUAAUACCAAAGUUCUUAAUCUGCCUAUCAUUUUGAGUGGUCAUGCUCCCAUUUUAGUGUCUACUAAAGGUAAUUUUGUCAAACCUAGGCAGACCUUCAAAUUUGAAAAU
rnacentral:rRNA from 1 species